UAAACUCAAAUUUGUAUGGAGUUUGGUACGUUUGCCAAUGUUUGCCGCUAGGAGCGCUGUUCCAACUGCAUACAAAUUUCAGUUA
rnacentral:pre_miRNA from 1 species